AUUUAAGCUCCGCAAUAACCCGGUACAGACGCUGUCUGAUACAGCCUCUGUUGCCGCUUGGGUGGUGUCUACUGGUGGAAGGACCACGCCGAGUUUUAUUUGUUUUUAGGGUCUGGUCCGAGCGUGGCUGCCCGGGAAGGUGGAGGGUUUUGGUGAUAGAGUCUCUCACUUCAGCCCCAUCACUCCUUGUGUGACGUGGUAUUUUUGCACACCCCUCACUUAUUUUGCAUGCUUUUGUUGUCCUAUUGUUUGCUGUGGAUGUGUAUGUGUCUUACACGGAG